ensembl:lncRNA
CAGCUGUCCUAAUGUCCAUCUGUCACUUAGCCAGCCUCCUGCAUGGCUUCCUCUGGGCACAGUGACCCAUGCCUGUAAUCCCAGCACUUUGGGGGUUCGAAAAAGGUGUAUCACCUGAGUUCAGAAGUUCGAAACCAGACUGGUCAACAUGACAAAAUGCCAUCUCUCUUAAAAAAUACAAAGAUUACUUGAGCAUCGUGGCAGGCACCUAUAAUCUCAGCUACUCCAGAAUCUCAGUCAGGAGAAUCACUUGAACCCAGGAGGCAGAGGUUACAGUGAGCUAAGAUCACGCCACUGCACUCCUGGCUGGUAACAAAGCAAGACUCUAUCUCAAAAAAUAACAAAAUACCUUCCGAGGCAGCUGCCUUCUGAUGAUGACCCUCUCCCAGUUAAGCACAGACCCCGAACUCCUGCCUGACCCUAAAGUGCCAGGUGAUGCUGCCCAUGCACUCCUCUGGCCACACUGAGUGUCCUCUGAGUCAUGCUGCUCCCUCUGCCUAGGUAUUUGCUGUCCCCUGUCUCAGAGCCUUCACUCCCUCUUCCAGGCUCCAUCCCCUCAUCCUCUGCCUGCCCAGCACCCACCUCCUGGUCAUUUAACAUGUAGCUCAGGUUGUAAUCCCAGUACUUUUGGAGGCCAGGGGCAGAGGGUCACUGGAGCCCAAGAGCUUGAGGCCAGCCUGGGCAACAGAGUGAGACCCCACAACUCCACCAAAAAUGUAAAAGGAAGAAAGAAAGAUGUAGCUCAGGUAUUACCCACCUCCAGGUAGCCUUCCUGAUGGCAUUAUACCCAGGUGGGCUCAGGGGCAGCCUCUGUUCUCUGGGCAUCAGAAGCCCCUCCCUGGGGCAGCGGUCCUGGGUCAGCUUCUGCAGGAGUCCAGGAACAGGAUGAUGGUGGAUGGAUCAGGACUGAGGGUCAGAGAUGCAGAGAGGCAGACAGCUUUGGGAUGCAGUUGGUGGGAUCAGUGGGACUUGCUGCAGGGUGACUGUCAGGGUGCAGGGGAGAAUUCCGGACCAGCCAUGUCUUCAUCUCUCUCUUCCUUCCAAUCCCAGGAGAGAAAACGAGGCAGAAGGACUUGUGGGCCCGACUCACCAGCUCCAUCCUCAGGAACUCGAGGACCAUCAAGUUCCAUGGCUGCGAGUGAGCCUUUCUGGACAGAGUUCUGUGCAUCCGAGGCAGAUCAGUGACUUCAGAAAGUGUACGAAUGUUGUGAGGCAAGGCGGAAGGAUCACAUGAAAUCAGGAAUUUGGGACCAGGCUGGCCAAGAAGGUGAAACCCUGUCUCUACCAAAAAUACAAAACUUAACUGAGUGUGGUGGUGCACGCCUCUAGGCCCAGGUUCUCAGGAGGCUGAGGCAGGUGAAUUGCUUGAAUCUGGAAAGUGGAGGUUGCAGUGAGUCGAGAUCGUGCCACUGCACUCCAGCCAGGUACAAAUAGCAGCUUUAGACUUGAUCCCACCAGGCAUGACCACUGGGCACGUUCAGCAGUGGAUCACCGAUUCUGCCUCAGUUUCCAGUGUCUUCUCAGGGGCCUGGAGUGGAGCGUCUGAAACCGGGCUGGAUGUCUUGCUGCAUAAAUACUCUCUCCACUUCCACCUGUGCCAUCAGCCUGGGUGAAGACUCAUGUCAGGGGAGAGCCAUCUUCCGCCUACAGCCCCACCUGUCUGAUGGCUGAGACUUCUGCCUCAUUUUCAGAACUCCCAGGGGCCCUUGAACGUCUUGUUAUUUGCUAUAUGUGCAAGUACAGAUUGCCUGUGCCUCCCCUCAGACCUUCCUGCCGCUCCCUAUAGAGCUGUCUGAAGCCUGGAAAUGUUUAUUUGCCUUUGGAGAAAUUCUACUUCCAUCUGCCCCAGACUCAUCAAAAGUACAGUAACUGCCAUCACUCUAACUUUCUGGAGCCUGUUCCAGCAGACAGGAGGGCUCUUCAAGUCCUUUUUGUAACCCCAUUUAAGAUAAGGAAACUGAGGCAAAUGAGUUCAUGAAUUCAAAGUGCCAGAGCUUGGGUUCAACCUCGAAUCCCUGGGCCCAGGGGUUCGAGGUUUGGGUUCAACCUUAAAGUUUAUGGGAUUUAAGGUUGGUGUGGGAACUGUUCUGUUUGGCACCCCCUCCCCGUGUGGGUCAAGGUUGUGUCCUGGGUUGCUUGCAGAGCCCCAGUUUAUGCCUGCUGACCUGACGCAUUUGUAACUAGUGUUGUCUUUAACUGCAAAAUGUUGUGGUUUGGGAGAGAAAUUCUGUGCUCACCCUGUUCACCUGCACCCUGAGGAAGCUCUGAUGCCACCACGCAGCCUCUGAUACACACUGGAGAAAGCCGGCACUAGGAUGUGCCUGUCAGCAGGAAGAGCUGCAAGCAUCUACACCCACAUGUAGACAUAUUUGUACACAUACAUUCAUAUACACACAUCCAUAUAUAUACAUGUCUUUAUAUACAUCCACACACACGUCUGUAUACCCACACAUUCUUACACAUGUCUACAUAUAGACACCUUCAUGUACACAUUACUGUACACACACAUCCAUAUCCACACAUUCAUACACACAUCUCUGUAUUUCGGUAUAUCUGUAUGCAUACAUGUCUACACACAUCCAUGUACAGAUAAAUCUGUUCACAGAUGCACACACAUUUGUACACACACAUCUGCACACACGUCAGUGGGGAUCAGGAAAACAGCAUUAAGUAGUGAGGGUCUGGUAAUAGUAUUGUUUUGACACAUUUUGAGUGAACUGACUAGCUAGUGGCUAUCAGAGUGGUGUGUGGGGUGUGUCUGCAAGUUGGCAGGGCCAUCAAAUGUGGUAUUUGUAGUUGCUUGUGGCUUUUCUAGAGGAUCUUUCAUGUGGAGCCUUGGAGUAUAGUGAGCUGUUCCUACGGCCCAUCUGCCAGUGUCUGCACCAGUGACCAACAAAGUUCUGGCUUCACGGGCCUCAAAGACUUUGGAUUGCACAGUAAGAAACACUAGUGUGCCAUCAUUGGACGUGUCUGGUCACCACAUGGAGAUCCGUUGCCAGCGGUGGGAUGGGAGCCGGGAGAGCCAGGAGUAUGUUGCAGUCAGACAGGCUCAAUAACCAGGGCUGGAGCUGGUGUGCAGCGGAGGUGGCAGUUGGGGUUGACUCUAGUCACAUUCCAUAGCAAUGGUCGACUGAGUUCCUGAAGGAUUCAUCGAGGGGUUGUCAAGGAGAGAAGAGGAGUCUUCUGUGUUUAUGUCUGAGUUUAUAACACAGGUUUCUAAUUUUGAGAAAUCCUGAGUUUAAAAAAAUUGGGGAAGGCCUGGGCAUAGUGGUUCACACCUGUAAUCUCAGCACUUUGGGUGGCCAAGGCGGGCGGAUCACUUGGGCUCAGGAGUUUGAGACCAGCCUUGCCAACAUGGUAAAACCCCAUCUCUACUAAAAAUACAAAAAUUAGUUGGGCACUGUGAUGUGCAUCUGUCAUCCCAGCUACUUGAAAGGCUGAGGUGGGAGAAUCAUUUGAACCCAGGAGGCGAAAGUUGCAGUGGACCUGGAUCCUGCCACUGCACUCCAGCCUGGGUGACAGAGUGAGACUCCAUCUCAAGAAAAAUUAAAAAUUGGGGAAGAAUUGGCAUAGAAAGCCAUUAGCUGGGCUAUCUUUUGCCCUCUCUCUGGUCCCAGCUUGUGUGAUCAUGGCUGGGCUUGCUGGCCAAGCCUGUCAUUCCAGAUGACACUAAGGCCUUUUCAGGGCUAGAGAGACCUGCAGCCACCCAUGGUUGGCAAGGCUGAGUGGUUCUAGGCACAGCUGGAAAUGAAACUGGUGAUGGGGGCAGCCCUAUCAUCUUUACAGGGAACCUCACGCAGCAGGUGGGCAGCAAGCUGGCCUCUCCGCAUGGCUGAGCCAUCUGCUGAGUGACAAGGCCCAUGUGACAGGUAGGAGAUGAAGCUCCUUGUGCUCUGUCUCCUUUGUGACCAGGCUAGGCUGUGGGCCAAAAGCCUCCUGAUGGUCUUUAUCGCCCCAGCCUCUCAAUAUCAACAUCUCAUCUAAGGACAGAUGCAGGCUCAGUGUGAGCCCCCAGAACUUCCCAAAAAUUCCAACUGUCCCCACAAACCUUAAAAUAGCAGAUUUUGGGUUGUUCUUAUUCUCACCCAUGAUAAGAAACGUAUGUAACAUUUUGACCUAAAAUACACGGGGCAUUUAAAACACACAGGCUGAGCAGAUGCUGGCACUGUGCCAGAGCUAGAAUGGUGACACCAGGGUGUGCCGCUUAUGUGUUCUGAAAGAUUUUAAGGUAAGGACAGGAGCUGGGGCUGGGGGCACUUGGAGCGGUGGCUGUUGACCACCUCAUGUGGGUGUUUGGGAGUCGUAACAGCUGGCCCAUUUCCACCUGUGUGUUCUAAAUGACCUUCAGUGUUGCAGAAGCAGAAGCUUCAGAAGGUGAAAUUUACCCAACGACCCAUGAUGUGUGGUUAAUUCUUUUGUCAUCUGACCUAUUUGAUUUUGUUUCAUUCUACUUUUUUUGAGACAGAGUCUCACAGUAUUGCUCAGACUGGAUGCAAUGGUGCAAUCUUGGCUCACCGCAGCCUCUGACUCCUGGGUUCAAGCAAUUCUCCUGCCUCAGCCUCCUGAGUAGCUGGGAUUACAGGUGCCUUCCACCCCUGGUUAUUUAUUUGUUUGUUUGUAUUUUUGUAGAGAGAGGGUUUUACUAUGUUGGCCAGGCUGGUCUGAAACUCCUGACCUCAGGAAAUCUGCCUGCCUUGGCCUCCCAAAGUGCUUGGAUUACAGGAAUGAGCCACUGUGCCCGGCUUUAUUCUACUUUAUCCUUGGGCCAACCAUAGUCUCACACCUAUAAUCGCAGAACUUUGGGAAGCCAAGGCAAGAGAAUUGCUUGAGCCCAGGAGUUCAAGACCAGCCUGGGAAACAUACUGAGACCCCUGUUUCUACAGAAAAAAGAAAUGUGUGUGUGUGUGUGUGUGUGUGUGUGUGUGUGUGUGUGUGUAUAUAUAUAUAUAUAUAUAUAUAUGCGUGCGCGCGCACACACACACACGUUAGCCAAGAUGGUGGCACAUGUCUGUAGUACCAGCUACUUGGGAGGCUGAGGUGAAACGAUUGAUUGUGCCUUGGA